GAGAAAGUGACUUGAUCGAUGUGAAGCUGUAGCUUCUCCACAGACUGCAGAUCUGAGGAGGAGUAGCUGACCCACAGCUUCCUGCAGCCCCCAUCCCCAGCUUGUCCAGGUCCAGGCCAGGAGACACCAACCAAGCCUGCUCUGAGACAUGAGGGAUGAACACAUUGUGGGAAAAGGAAGGAGGGUGAUUUGGGCUCUGACAUUAUUUGCUAAAGUCUGCACGGUAACAUUUGACUUCUCAUCUCGGACAUCAUAAUCAAUCUCUUUCCACUCUCCUGUUGGCCCACAACAAAUACGUAUCCAAAUACUUCCAUCAUUAUGAGCCGGGAAACAAUGCCCAACUGCUGAAACAUUAUCUACAAACCGAGAUUUUGUUUCCCAAAGACUUGAGACCAUUUGAUGACACUUCUAGACAAAAUCAUAUCUUCAUUCUCGUAGGUGAAGGAAAAAUAAAACCAGGUGCACAAAAAACUUCCUGA
rnacentral:lncRNA from 1 species